AAAAACCAAACAAGAAAAGACCAAGACAAACCCAAACAAACAAGAACAAACAAACAAAACCAAAAAGAAAACACCAAGCAAAAAAAACACCUCCCAAAACCCAGGAAAAGGUAGGGGCUCAGGAAAGAAGUUUUUCUGCCUGACUUUAUCCAGCUCCAGGUUCUUUCUUAGACAGAGUUCCCCCUUUGCAGGAGCAGUGUCCUAAAGUCUCUUUU